GGAACUUGCAAAAGAUUCACUGCAAAACACCUACUAUUAAAUCCAAACUGUAGAGUACAUUGAAAGUUGACAUACAGUCGAAAGUAUAUACAUUUCUCAUCUUAACACAACACAUCUUUACAGUAACUAAAUUUACGAAAGAAACUGUUUUGGGAAGUCAUAAACAGCUGUGACUAAUCACACCUCCAUCUGACAACCAGAGCACUUGAAUAAUCUUGAUACUGAAUGCUGUCACCUUUUCUCGCUAGUCUUGCUUCGAAAGGGAGAUAACAAAGAGAGACGAGACUUCUGUGAAACAUUGCUAGCAGUUGGGGUUUCAUCUUGGGAGAUCAAAUUCUUCAAAGUGAAAACUUCACUAGGCAAGGGAGCAUUUGUGACACUAUCAUCCUGCUUCAUGCUAUUCAUGUUUGCGCCAUUUGAUUCUGCUCCUCCAGAGAUGUGGUUCUUCUUUCCAAACCUCAGGAGGCGUUUAAAACCUUUUGGUGAUUCCUUCACUUGAGUCCUUUCUGCAGCUUCUGGAUUGUUAUCUACUCUAACAGUGUGAAUAUCAGGUGCAUGAGCUUUGGCAAUUUCUUUUACUGUUGAUCCUGUGUCUGAGCUUGAUGGAAGUGCUUUAGCAAACUCCAAGUUUCUGGUACAAGGGUCCUCGACAGAUGAGACACGAGCAUACGGAGCACGAUAAACAGUACUUCCGAUAUUUGCAAACUUGGGUGUGUCAUCUGCACAAUUCGUCCCUGUCUCAUGGGAAUUUGACAGCUCUUGCAGUCGGCUAGGAACAGGUGCUCUAAUAAAUCCUUCAAAGGGUGACGGUGGGUCACGUGUAGAGGCAUAGUCAGUUCUCUCAACACUGUUAAUCUUGUCACAUUCUUCCACAGCCAAGUUCUCUGAUGAUGAACUGGGAACAGCCAAAGAGGGUUUCUUCUCCUUCUCAAGCAUAACAACAGUUUUCUCAAUAAUGUUUUCAUCUAGAUCAUUCUUGUAUGAUUCAAUGCCUUCAGAUGCUACAGAAGGCCUGUCAUUCUUCUCCGUAGCUAUAUUCUCCGCAGUUAGUUUGUCUUGUCGUAAAUCUGACGACUCUUUGGUGGUUCGGAUUUUCAGCUCAGGAAGAGUUGCAGCCUUCUUUUUGUCAAGGUCUAUGAUGGCAGAUAUUUUCUUGCUCUCUGGCACAUCAGAGCGCUUUGUCUUAGACACUGGUUCGGCACUCCGAGCCUUGGGCUUUGAUACAAGUUCAGCACUUUGCGCCUUCCGUAAGGUACCAGGCUUGCUGCUGAUUGCUUUGGGCUCUGAUAGUCUUCUUAUUCGUGCCAUGGAUGCCUUUGAAUCAGGAGUAACAUCGUUGUUUUCUUUUUUUGGUUCAGACAAAGAUGAUGCUGAUCUACUCAAUUUGUUACCUGCCAAUUUGCUGCCAUCAGUUGAUUUGCUUGCUUUAGAGCCCUUCUGCACACCAUUUGACCCCAACGGAGUUCUUAUUUUGGUUCUUUGCAAUGGUGACAAGGAUCCAGGCUCUGAGUCACUGAACUUGGAUCCCCUGAAGGUGCCAGGAGAGCUUUUUGCUGGCAAUUUUCUUGUUUGGAUUGUUGGUGCUGGAGAAUGACCAGAGCUGGGGCCACCUCUGGAUGC
rnacentral:misc_RNA from 1 species